rnacentral:rRNA from 1 species
GAUGAACGCUGGCGGCGUGCUUAACACAUGCAAGUCGAACGGAUUUAACAGAAAGCUUGCUUUCGGUUAAAUUAGUGGCGGACGGGUGAGUAACGCGUGGAUAACCUGCCGUAUACAGGGGGAUAACACUUAGAAAUAGGUGCUAAUACCGCAUAAGCGCACAGUUUCGCAUGAGACAGUGUGAAAAACUCCGGUGGUAUACGAUGGAUCCGCGUCUGAUUAGGUAGUUGGUGGGGUAACGGCCCACCAAGCCGACGAUCAGUAGCCGGCCUGAGAGGGUGAACGGCCACAUUGGGACUGAGACACGGCCCAAACUCCUACGGAGGCAGCAGUGGGGAAUAUUGCACAAUGGGGGAAACCCUGAUGCAGCGACGCCGCGUGAGUGAAGAAGUAUUUCGGUAUGUAAAGCUCUAUCAGCAGGGAAGAAAAUGACGUACCUGACUAAGAAGCUCCGGCUAAAUACGUG